GCAAGUCGUACGCUUCUUUUUCCACCGGAGCUUGCUCCACCGGAAAAAGAAGAGUGGCGAACGGGUGAGUAACACGUGGGUAACCUGCCCAUCAGAAGGGGAUAACACUUGGAAACAGGUGCUAAUACCGUAUAACAAUCGAAACCGCAUGGUUUUGAUUUGAAAGGCGCUUUCGGGUGUCGCUGAUGGAUGGACCCGCGGUGCAUUAGCUAGUUGGUGAGGUAACGGCUCACCAAGGCCACGAUGCAUAGCCGACCUGAGAGGGUGAUCGGCCACAUUGGGACUGAGACACGGCCCAAACUCCUACGGGAGGCAGCAGUAGGGAAUCUUCGGCAAUGGACGAAAGUCUGACCGAGCAACGCCGCGUGAGUGAAGAAGGUUUUCGGAUCGUAAAACUCUGUUGUUAGAGAAGAACAAGGAUGAGAGUAACUGUUCAUCCCUUGACGGUAUCUAACCAGAAAGCCACGGCUAACUACGUGCCAGCAGCCGCGGUAAUACGUAGGUGGCAAGCGUUGUCCGGAUUUAUUGGGCGUAAAGCGAGCGCAGGCGGUUUCUUAAGUCUGAUGUGAAAGCCCCCGGCUCAACCGGGGAGGGUCAUUGGAAACUGGGAGACUUGAGUGCAGAAGAGGAGAGUGGAAUUCCAUGUGUAGCGGUGAAAUGCGUAGAUAUAUGGAGGAACACCAGUGGCGAAGGCGGCUCUCUGGUCUGUAACUGACGCUGAGGCUCGAAAGCGUGGGGAGCAAACAGGAUUAGAUACCCUGGUAGUCCACGCCGUAAACGAUGAGUGCUAAGUGUUGGAGGGUUUCCGCCCUUCAGUGCUGCAGCUAACGCAUUAAGCACUCCGCCUGGGGAGUACGACCGCAAGGUUGAAACUCAAAGGAAUUGACGGGGGCCCGCACAAGCGGUGGAGCAUGUGGUUUAAUUCGAAGCAACGCGAAGAACCUUACCAGGUCUUGACAUCCUUUGACCACUCUAGAGAUAGAGCUUCCCCUUCGGGGGCAAAGUGACAGGUGGUGCAUGGUUGUCGUCAGCUCGUGUCGUGAGAUGUUGGGUUAAGUCCCGCAACGAGCGCAACCCUUAUUGUUAGUUGCCAUCAUUUAGUUGGGCACUCUAGCAAGACUGCCGGUGACAAACCGGAGGAAGGUGGGGAUGACGUCAAAUCAUCAUGCCCCUUAUGACCUGGGCUACACACGUGCUACAAUGGGAAGUACAACGAGUCGCGAAGUCGCGAGGCUAAGCUAAUCUCUUAAAGCUUCUCUCAGUUCGGAUUGUAGGCUGCAACUCGCCUACAUGAAGCCGGAAUCGCUAGUAAUCGCGGAUCAGCACGCCGCGGUGAAUACGUUCCCGGGCCUUGUACACACCGCCCGUCACACCACGAGAGUUUGUAACACCCGAAGUCGGUGAGGUAACCUUUUGGAGCCAGCCGCCUAAGGUGGGAUAGAUGAUUGGGGUGAAGUCGUAACA
rnacentral:rRNA from 1 species